rnacentral:rRNA from 1 species
UACAGAGGUCCCAAGCGUUGUUCGGAUUCAUUGGGCGUAAAGGGUGCGUAGGCGGCGCGGUAAGUCGGGUGUGAAAUCUCGGGGCUUAACUCCGAAACUGCAUUCGAUACUGCCGGACUAGAGUUCGGAAGAGGCGAGUGGAAUUCCCGGUGUAGCGGUGAAAUGCGCAGAUAUCAGGAGGAACACCGGUGGCGAAGGCGGGUCUCUGGGCCGAUACUGACGCUGAGGAGCGAAAGCGUGGGGAGCGAACAGG